rnacentral:rRNA from 1 species
UCCCCUUGGGGGGGGGGGGACAGUUGGGAAUCUUCCACAAUGGACGCAAGUCUGAUGGAGCAACGCCGCGUGAGUGAAGAAGGUCUUCGGAUCGUAAAGCUCUGUUGUUGGUGAAGAAGGAUAGAGGCAGUAACUGGUCUUUAUUUGACGGUAAUCAACCAGAAAGUCACGGCUAACUACGUGCCAGCAGCCGCGGUAAUACGUAGGUGGCAAGCGUUGUCCGGAUUUAUUGGGCGUAAAGCGAGCGCAGGCGGAAUGAUAAGUCUGAUGUGAAAGCCCACGGCUCAACCGUGGAACUGCAUCGGAAACUGUCAUUCUUGAGUGCAGAAGAGGAGAGUGGAACUCCAUGUGUAGCGGUGGAAUGCGUAGAUAUAUGGAAGAACACCAGUGGCGAAGGCGGCUCUCUGGUCUGCAACUGACGCUGAGGCUCGAAAGCAUGGGUAGCGAACAGGAUUAGAUACCCUGGUAGUCCAUGCCGUAAACGAUGAGCGCUAGGUGUUGGGGACUUUCCGGUCCCUCAGUGCCGCAGCAAACGCAUUAAGCGCUCCGCCUGGGAGAGACCCGA